rnacentral:rRNA from 1 species
AUUGAACGCUGGCGGCAUGCCUUACACAUGCAAGUCGAACGGUAACGCGGGGCAACCUGGCGACGAGUGGCGAACGGGUGAGUAAUGCAUCGGAACGUGCCCAGUAGUGGGGGAUAGCCCGGCGAAAGCCGGAUUAAUACCGCAUACGACCUACGGGUGAAAGGGGGGGAUCGCAAGACCUCUCGCUAUUGGAGCGGCCGAUGUCAGAUUAGGUAGUUGGUGGGGUAAAGGCCUACCAAGCCUACGAUCUGUAGCUGGUCUGAGAGGACGACCAGCCACACUGGGACUGAGACACGGCCCAGACUCCUACGGGAGGCAGCAGUGGGGAAUUUUGGACAAUGGGCGCAAGCCUGAUCCAGCCAUGCCGCGUGCGGGAAGAAGGCCUUCGGGUUGUAAACCGCUUUUGUCAGGGAAGAAACGCUCUGGACUAAUACUCUGGGGUAAUGACGGUACCUGAAGAAUAAGCACCGGCUAACUACGUGCCAGCCGCCGCCGUAACAC